rnacentral:rRNA from 1 species
AACGAACGCUGGCAGCGUGGAUUAGGCAUGCAAGUCGAACGGGAUCCGGAAGGUAGCAAUACCGGCCGGUGAGAGUGGCGGAAGGGCGAGGAGCACGUGGACAACCUGUCCCGUGGGUGGGGAUACCGUCCCGAAAGGGGCGUUAAUACCGAAUGGGGCCCCGGACCGCAUGGUCCGGCGGCCAAAGGCGGGGACCGCAAGGCCCGCCCCCCCGGGAGGGGUCCGCGCACCAUCAGCUAGACGGCGGGGUAACGGCCCACCGUGGCUUACGGUUAGCUGGUCUGAGAGGACGACCGGCCGCACUGGGACUGAGACACUGCCCAGGCUCCUACGGGAGGCUGCAGUCGAGGAUCAUUCGCAAUGGGCGAAAGCCUGACGAUGCGACGCUGCGUGGAGGAUGAAGGCCCUCGGGUCGUAAACUCCUGUCAUGGGGGGCGAGGCGGAGGCGGUUAACGGCCGCCCGAGUUGACGGUACCCCAAGAGGAAGCCACGGCUAACUCUGUG